UCCUCCACGUCUCUUCAUAUUCAUCUCUCCACUUACAUCAAUUGAAACUCUAAGAGGGUUAUAUCCAAGAAAACUAGAGCUUUGCUGCAAUUUGUGCUGAGAAAUCCUAGUGUGAUGAGAUUGAGGAGAUCUCAAAGCGCAUAGUUGUUUAUUGUAGGAAGCAAAACGAUGUAUAGGAUAAGAAAGAGAAAGAGAAAGGGACAUCAUUCUAUAUCUUUGUUUUAAAAUUCCUCAACUGUUUAACUUAUACGCCGGCGAAUGAAG
rnacentral:misc_RNA from 1 species